rnacentral:rRNA from 1 species
GAUGAACGCUAGCGGCAGGCCUAAUACAUGCAAGACGAACGGUAAGUUGAGUAGCAAUACUUAGCCAAGAGUGUCGUACGGGUGCGUAACACGUAUGCAACCUACCCUAUACAGGAGGAUAGCCUAGGGAAACCUGGAUUAACCCUUCAUAGUAUUAUUGGAUGGCAUCAUUUGAUAAUUAAAACUGAGGUGGUAUAGGAUGGGCAUGCGUCUGAUUAGUUAGUUGGCGGGGUAAUGGCCCACCAAGACGAUGAUCAGUAGGGGUUCUGAGAGGAAGAUCCCCCACACUGGCACUGAGAUACGGGCCAGACUCCUACGGGAGGCAGCAGUAGGGAAUAUUGGUCAAUGGAUGCAAGUCUGAACCAGCCAUGCCGCGUGCAGGAAGAAGGCCUUCUGGGUUGUAAACUUGCUUUUGCCAGGGGAUAAAAUUUCCAUGCGUGGAAAACUGAAGGUACCUGGUGAAUAAGCCACGGCUAACUACGUGCCAGCAGCCGCGGUAA